UUUUUUCUUUUUUUUUUUUUUUGUAAUUUUAUAAAGCAGGGAAUGGAUGCAAUUUAAUAUAGCAGCUUUUCCAAGCAAGCCUCUGGAAUCUCCUGUAAACCCCCAUGAUUUGGUCAAGGGAGGAUAUUAGGGGAAGCAGUGAAGCCCAACAGUUAGCAUCCUCCCCUUUCUCCUAAAAGGUUGAAGCUGAAGUGGAACACGCCAUUAAGUAAUUUUAUAAAGCAGGGAAUGGAUGCAAUUUAAUAUAGCAGCUUUUCCAAGCAAGCCUCUGGAAUCUCCUGUAAACCCCCAUGAUUUGGUCAAGGGAGGAUAUUAGGGGAAGCAGUGAAGCCCAACAGUUAGCAUCCUCCCCUUUCUCCUAAAAGGUUGAAGCUGAAGUGGAACACGCCAUUAAGAAAAAAAAAAAAAACAAAAGGAGUUCUGCAUCUCUCCGGCGCUGAGGGAACAAAUGGGCGUGGGGAUGAUUCUUCUUCCAUUCCAAGCUUAUCAACGUCGUAACAAGGUAGCUCUAGGGACAAACUAUGGCUAGAUUGAAUCCUUUUUAUUUAUUAUAUUAUGAUAUUUAGAUAUAUAGCUAUGCUUAGGGGUAUGGAACUUAGCAAGCUUUCUCGAUCAACUGCUCCUGGGGAAUCCCAAAAGAUUUCAGGCAACUCUGACUCAGAAGCACAAAAACUCUGCUUUGCUGGAAACCCAAUUCUCAAAAAUCUCGGAAGAAAGAAAGAGAAAUUUAGCUUAAAAAAAAUCCAAAACCUCUAAUUCUUGAAAACUUAACUUUAGCCACGACUCUUGAAUAUUUGGCCCAGGGUACUCUUUUGGUUUCUUCUGCGAAAUAUCUACUCUAAGUUCGGGUAAUGAUUAACAACAUCUAGGCCAGUUUGUUUCUUAACGGGGACAAAGUUGAUUAAUUCGUUAAAUCCAAUAUGCAAUUGCACCAUCUGAAAUUAUUACUAGAUAAACACAGUUGGCAAAGCAUUCAAUUUUAUUUUUUUUUUGGUAACCCGGAACAUGUCCCGACCAGAAUCCUUAGGAUCCGAGCCGGCACACCAAACCGGAGGGAAGCCGACAGCCCCAUACAGCUUCCCGGACGAGUCAGGAUGUGCGACGCAGCGGGCACGAAUCGAAUCCUGGUCAGUGGAAAAACCAGCAACACAAGACCGACCCCUCAACCGCUGCGCCAUAUGCCCUGGGGGCCAUUCAAUUUCAGUUGCAUAACAACAAAAAGGAUUGUCGGGGAUAGACAUCAGAAAUUUGGAACAAGAAUAUCUAAAUGCGAUUCUUGCUAUGACAAAAGAGUGAAGCCUCAAAUUGAAAGUCAUAUAAAAAUGUACUAUAUUUUGAGAACAUGGAUAGAACCUGGAUGAAAAUUACAAUAUGCAAUGUAAAAUAUUUAUCUUUAUUUUCACAAAAUAUACUACUUUAAUGUGCAUAGUGUAGUCAAUGUCUAUGUAUAAUACACUACACCUACAUACAUAAAGUACAAUUCUUUUUCUAUAUUUUGUAUGUAUCCAAAUAUUUUCUUGUAUUGAAAAAUGAAAAAAUAUUUAAAUAUAAUAUGCAAACCAUGUUAUUUUAAUAUAGCUAUUCAGAAAAAGUACACCUUAAAGAUGAUCCUUUGAAACAAUUGAGGGGAAACUAUCAUAUACAUGAUCAUCAUUCAUUUUUUAUAAAGUACAUGAUUUAAUACUUUACCUACAUACACGAUUUAAUAUAUAAGAUUUUGAUCUAAUAGUGCAUUAAAUUUGUUGUAGUGAAUCAUUUUUGUUUUUCUUUUCUACUACUUUCUUUUCCUUUUUAUUUCUUUUCCUUUUCACUUCUUCCAUGUCACUAUUUUCUUCACUUACCCAUAAGUAUUGCUAAUUGUGUGCUUAUUUAAAUAUUGUAGUUUUCUUUUAAUUAUAAUUUCAUUCUUACUUUGAUUUAUUAACUUAUUUAUUUAUAGUAUUAAGAAAUUCAUGAUAAACUAUAUAGCGUGACAAAAUAUCAAUUACAUGUCAUAAUCAAAGGAGUAUAUAAUUUAACUAUUUAACAGAUAUUAGCAAACUAGAAUCUUUAUUAUAUAUUUCAAAGUAUAUGCCAAAUAAAUAAAGUAACUAGUAGUCGUAUGAAUUUUAUGCAUAGACAAUUAAACGUUAUGUGAUUAUGAUCUAUUUAUUUGUUAUUUUUUAUUAUCAAUUAAUUAAUGUAAAUGCCAUAUGGAAUAGUCUAUGUGGAUAGCUAAUAUAGACUUUGUUAUAGUGUAGAAUUUGUUAUCAUUAUUACUUUUUAAAAAAAAAUUUAGCAAAAGAAAGGUGAGAUUUAAGAAGAGGGAGAGGGAAGGGGAGAUUUGUGAUUAUUAUUACUUCUAACAGGAAAAAGUAAAUAGCACUAUAAAUAAAGAAUAUAUUUAUGAAAAUUAAAAAUAAUACAUAGAUAAUAAUAAUAAUAAAGAAAAAAAGAAAGUAGUUGGUCACAUGAAAGAAGGGAGAAAAAUUGAAAGCCAAAAAUAAAAGGGACAAAAGUAGAAAAGAAAUAUAAAUAUAAUUACUGCAAAGAACAGACACUUUUGCUUUUUUUUGUUUAAAUUUCUAGCAAGGAAGAUUCACUUUUAUCCUAAAACAUCAUGUAGGAGGGCAAAGUAUCUAUUUAAUGAGUUCAAGUAGGUAACAUGCAACUCGAGGCAAAGUUCAAAAGGAUUUUACUGCAUUUAACCCUAAAAGAAGUCACUAAAUAAUAUAAUAUACUAAUAUUAGAAUUGAGACUCUUACUGAGGGUUUUUUUUUUUGUGCACCACCACCACACCGCACUCCACCAAAGGCCACAAGAGAAUGAAAGCUCAAGUUUCGGAAUUUUUCCCUUUUGUAUAAUUUGCGUUCUGCCUCGUCUUGUCUCACUUAUUUUGAGCUUUAGAAAUAUCUCUUGAUCUUUGUAUUCUUCCUUAUAAUAGCAAAAUUUGCUCUCUUCCACUCAUGAACAUCCGUCUAUUUGACCGAAUUACAUAAAUCUUAGUGUCUUUAUCUUUUAUUAUUUUUCCUUUACAUUUUUAUUAUAGUUUUCAUUAUUAAUUUUGUGAGUAACCAAAUAACUUUUGUCCAAUUACUUUGGCCAAAUCCUAACACAUUUUAACUGAUCACAACACCAUUUGGUUCGUGUCCUAAUGGAAAUUGACCAUAAUGAGCAAGCCUAUAUUCUCCGGGAAAAUUCUGAUAGAAAAUCAUGAGCUCUCAAAAUUUAGUAGAUGUUGAAUGAAAAUGAAAACUUAAUUCGCUUUAAUUUGUUAUAGGCCUUGGCGGGCCUUUCGGUGCAUCCUUGGUUUCAGAUCAUUUUGGGUUCAAAAUUUUCCUCAGUUUCAUUUGGGCCCAACAUAAUCGAGUCCAAACACACUUUGGGCACUUGGUUUUCUCCUCAGAUUUUGCUUUAUGUCUCAUAUUUGUCCACUUCAGCCUUCGGUGGGAAGCUAAAAGCUCUUCUCAAUGUGAAUAAAUACGAGUUCCAAAAUAACAGAUAUUUUCCCAAUCUGAAAAGCUUUAAUAGCCUGAGAAAUAGAUAAAUUGAUUAACUUUCAAGGAACAGAAUGGAUUAAAUGACAUAUGCAUUACUGAAAAUUAGAAUUUCAAUAUGGGAGAAAGGACGUCCAACAACAUCAGGAGCAAUUCUUUUAGGCACAACAAUGCCAAAUUAUCUGCAAAGAAGAGUAUGAAAUUCUUGAUGAUUUUUGCAUACUCUUCCAAGCGCAUCAAGCUCCCCAAGCUAGUUGCUCAUGUAGUUGUUGCUAUAACUGAAUCAAAAUGUUACCAAUAGAUUUAUGAUCAUUCUUGAAAAUACAAAUCCGUGCUACAGUAGAGAGGGUCACAAAGAAAAAUUUGUCCUUGUCACUGAAAACGAUUUUAGUUUUGUUAUUAAUGAUUACAAACAAAUACAACAUCUAGGUAAAGUCAAUGGAUAGCGUUCAGGUUGAAUCUAAUUGAUCCAAAUCCAAGCUCACUGCAUUUGUCAAUUACCGAGACGCUCAUGGUUAGAAAAUUCAAACUCGAAACCUUAUGGAUCUAGCUAGUGAUUGGGUAUGAACAUGUAUUUCUUGAUGUGCAAUUAGAAAUAAGGACAAAAUACUCAUAAUCCCCCUGUACUUCUUAAUGAUACCACAUGAUCUCCCCAAGGUUAUAAAAUGUUCACUUAAUCCCUUGUGAUUUUUAUGUAAAUUGAAAAUUUGAUGAAAAAUAGUUUCUGUAACAUCAUUAGUUGAAAUGCUAGUGUCGGACUUACUUGAAUACUAAAUUAAAUAAGGGCCUAACCAUUUUGCUUACCGUCAUAAUGGGAUUAUGUGGAUAGAUGCAAAACUACAAGGUGAUUAAGUGGAUAUUUAUCCAAAACUAUAGAGGGUUAAAUAGAUAUUUUAAAAUUUCACCACAUGUACUUUUUGGAAAGUGUCUCGGUCAAUUGCUAUAACCAGAAAUUUUUCAUCUAUUUUUCACUUUAUAUAAAACCAAAGGAGGAUGAUAUAUGGACAUUUUGAAACAUUAAAGGGCGUCAUGUGAUAUCAUGCAAAAGUACAAGGAGUUACAAAUCAUUUACCCUGAAAACAAAUUCAAAAAAUAAUAAAAACAUAUUAAAUUCAAAGAUAACAAACCUAUAAUCCAAAUGCCAUUUUCAAAUAACAAAAUCAACAUUUUAUACUAUAUAUAUCUAUGUAUGUGUGUGUACACACACACACAUAGACCAUACAAAAUCCAAACUUGUAAUUCUUUCACAAUGUCUCAAUUCAGAUAGGGUGUGGGUUUGAAAAAUUGGAAAUCAACCUAGGAAAAUAAUGAGGGAUCUAGAUAACACUCAUCCCAUUGACGUGGGAGUUAAGAUCUUCUCCAUUAGAUUUCUUUAAAUAUAUUUAAAUUACUAUGACUUUAUAAAAUUAUCUGAUUAUGUCAUUACUUUUAUUUUAAUCUCUAGAUCAACAUACUAAAAAAUAAUAUUGCUUUGAGAAUAUUUUGGCAUUUAAUUUAUACUAAACAUUUGAAGAGUGAAAAAUGAGUCACAAUAAUAAACAGAUUUAUAGUGAUUAAUCAAACGAUAAAAUUUAGUCAAUUUCAUAUGAAAUUUUAUAUAUAACUUACACAAGUGAGGAAAUGGUGUCCAACAGCUUUUUCAAUUCCAAGAUCAUUUUGUCCACAUCUCUCACUGUUUUCGUCAAGCUAACCUAGUUGUAGAUAUCCUUUCUAAUGUUGGGUGUGUAGAUGUUUUGGACAAGUUUUAUCAUCAAGUUUCUGAACUACCUUCUUUAGCUCGAGGUGCGUUGAGGAAAUAAAAUGUUGAUGAUAAAACUUGAUGAUAAAACUCGAUCAAUAUUGAGCUCGAGUUCGAAUUGACCAAGUUGAGCUCGACCUAUCCAAGUCGAGCUCAAAGGUCGAGCUAACCGAGCUCGAGACUCGAGUUCAAAGGUAUUUAGUUCGUUAACUCGUGAGCCGACUCAAUUAUAUAUAUAUAUAACUUUUUAUUUUAGUAAUAAAAUUACACAUAUAUUCCUAAUAUUUUAUUAUUUGUUAAAAAUUUAUUAUUUUAUUUAUAUUUUAAAAAUAAAAUAAUUAUUUUUUUUAAGCUCGAACUCGAGUUUUACAUUUUGAUCUCAUUGAGUUCGAAAUUCAUAAAACUAAGUUGGGACUUUACUCAAUUAGGCCAAAGUUUGAUUUGGUUUGACUCGUUUGCACCCUAAUUGAAGCUAAAUGCAUUAGGCUUACCAUCAAUUAGGAAAUUAAUUGUUCAUUAGUUUGUAAAGAAAGUAGUACUUCUUGUUUUUUGGUUUUUUUUUUUUCCACUGCUUGUUUGGAGGUAAGGUUUAUGUCCAUCUCCUUUUUUAAAUUUAUUAAUAAAAUUUAGGGGUGGCGUCUCUCCCCCAUAUACGGGGUCUGCCAUUUAAAAAGAAAAAGAAAAUAUAUUUUGGACGGUAUUAUUUUUUAAAAUAAUUUUAUUAGGGUGUGAUGGAGAGAUUCUCUCCAUUGCAAUGGAGAGGAGCUCAGCCUACCUAAACUUACCCUCUUCAAAAUACUGAUAAACUUCGAUCCAUUUACUUGUUCCUCAAUUGAGAAAUGCCACGAAAGUGACGCAACCAGAAUUUAAGAAAGCAUCGCAGAUCUCAAACCUGUCGGCUUAGAUAAUAUCAAGAUGCAUUUCUUGGAUGCACUCAAGAUGAUUUUGCUGCAAAGCCAGGAAUUCCUAGGACCAGUUUCUAUGGAAUGAACGGCUUUGCUACGAACAGUAUAUACGUUUUUCAGCUAGUAAGUAACUUAUUGCCUGUUACUUUUAAUAACACACCUAAACUAAAACCAUGCCUAAUUCGGUAAUUCCUCACUUAGCCAUAUGUACUUUUAAUAAAUUAUUGCCUGUUACUUUUAGACAUAUGUACCUUAGCAUUUUUUGUAAUUUAGCUAAUGUUUUCUUAAUAAUAAACUUAUAAAAAUUACAAAAGUACUUUUUAUAAAUUUAACGGUGACAAGUAUGUCAAAUGGACGUAAAAGUCCAUUCAUGCCUACUGCAGACUUAACAAAUUUGCAAAAAUGAUUAAAAAGAAACUAAACUGGAGGGUGCAAUUUCAUCCAAUAAUUAGAGUUUAAGGGUACAAAAUAGAAAUACAUAACAAAUUAGGGUUCAAAAUGAUGUUUAACAUCCUGACUAACCGUGAUCGAUAGGUUUGCAAUCACAUAUAAUUUCGUGAAUUUCCUGAAUAAAAAACCAAAGUUGGAUGGCUACUUAGGGUACAAUGUAUUCUAAUUGAUUGUGUAAAGUGCAAAUCCAUCAUGAAUUAUAGGGUACAAAGUGGAUUUAGUCAUUUAUAAAAUACCAAUGUUACUUUUAAUGUUGUACUAACUAACAUAGUCCUUAGUCAAUUCCCAAGUUUUAGGUUUAUUUUCAAUUGUUCCUAUAUGUUUCAAGGACUUUUCAAUUGUUCUUCUUUCCAAGUCUCUUACACAUAUAUUUUUUUUCAACAAGAAGUCCUCGUCGAAAUUGAUGUCAAGAUAAAGGUGUCCAUCUUAAAUUUUUCAUAUCUUCUUAGAUACUUCGUGCCAAGCAUUUCAAUUGGUUUCAUAUCUUCUUUCCUAUGUCAAGGAAGAUAUAUAUUGGUAAAAAAAAAAAAAAAAAAGACACAAGCACAAACAAUAUGUGGUCACUGGAUAAAACACAAAGGAAAAAAUAAUGUCUGUUAACAUAGAAAAUUAUUUAAAUCUUGUAUGUUUCUACUUGGACACGGAGAUCAAGGUCAACUAGACUUCCACAAAGUUAUAUAUUUCGUGGAGGUAAGCGAUGUUGUCAAAGCAAAUUAAAGCCUAGAUUACAGAUUUUGUCCUUUAAGACACUCUCAGAUGGAGGCAAUUGAAUAGAGAAGUUUGUGCCCCGCGUGAAUGGUCCAGCGGCAGUGCCUCUCACCAGUGAACAUUGAGGUCACAAGUUCGAGUCUCCGCUCCGCUGGAUUCCUCCGCGCACUUAAUGUGUUCAGGCCGGGUUGGGGCGCCGAGCCCGGGCUGCAGGGGAUUAGUCGGGCCAAGUAAGGAUUGACCCGGACACCCCUGUGUCAAAAAAAUAAAAAGAAUAGAGAAGUUUGCAUGUGUACUAUUCAAACCAAACUAUUAAUGUGCUAGUGUUUGUCUAUGCAUGUCUUGACUCUUGAUUGUCAAACUAGAAGAGAUAGCAUUCAUUAUCAAGGCUACUCACCAUAUCCCCUCUCACAGAGAAUAUUACUUCACAAUACAAGGACUCAGUCUCUUGCUAAGUAUCACUGAAUAGGAAUCAGGGCAUAGCAAUGAUAUGUUCACUUAGGCACUGCUUGUUUUGAGGGAAUAGGAGGGAAAGGAAAAGAAAUGGAGGGACUCUUCCCCUUGGACAAGCGGUCAAACAUGCUCUUUCUUGCAGUGAAGUCUUUUCCUUGUAGUGGUCUCUUCCCCUUGAACAAGCGGUCAAAAAUACUCUUCUUCUGUCGUCCUUCCUUCGCCUCUCCAUUGGUUUUAGUAUCACAAACAAUGAAAGUUAUAUUGAACUUCCUGUCUCGGCGACGUUAUAUUCUUGUCUCGAUAACUGCAUGUUAUUGCUGUAUCACUUCUCUUGUUAAGUUCACAAACUUAGUAAGAGUUGGAACAUAGAAUUUUAACAUUUAAUAAUUGAAUAAAUUCGCCGGUAAACUACUUCAGUAAUUAUUCUUUCUUUUAUUUUUACAUUCUGCAUUACAGUAUACUCCUGAAUGAGAGAACUACUCCUAUAAAAAGGAGCAUUUUGUACUGCAAAACCAAAAAAUCAAAACAACAAACAAAGAAGCCAGCAACCGCUGCAAAAGAUGGUUGCCAUUUCCUCCCCACAUUUUGUAAUAUUCCCCUUCAUGGCUCAAGGCCACACUAUCCCCCUCCUCUACCUUGCUCGCCUUCUCUGGCAGCGCAAUGUCGCUGUCACGGUGUUCACCACCCCAGCUAACUCUCCAUCAAUCCGUGCUACUCUCCAUGACACUGCCAUCUCAAUUAUUGAACUACCUUUCCCAGCACAUGUUGAUGGCAUCCCUCCAGGGGUUGAAAAUACUGAUAAACUUCCAUCCAUGUUACUAUUUGUUCAAUUUGCAAAUGCCACGAAACUCAUGCAGCCACAUUUUGAGAAGGCACUUGAAGAUCUCAAACCCGUUGGCUGCAUAAUAUCUGAUGGAUUUCUAGGAUGGACUCAAGAUUCUGGCGCAAAGCUAGGAUUUCCAAGAAUUGGUUUCUAUGGAAUGAGCAGCUUUGCUACUACCAUGUAUGCGAUUAUUGGCCAAGAAAGGCCACAUGCACUUACUAUGUCACCUGAUGAGCCCUUUUCCAUCCCAAAUUUCCCUAAACUAACCUUGACAAGAAAUGAUUUCAAUCCACCAUUCAAUGAAAUUGAACCAAAAGGUCCGAUGGUUGAGUUCAUUACAGAGCAAAGUAUUGCAAUGGCAAAAAGUUACGGCAUGAUUCUCAACAGCUUCUACAAGCUUGAAGCAGCCUAUACUGACUUCUGGAACAAAUGCCUUGGACCCAAAGCCUGGUGUGUUGGUCCUCUAGCGGAAGCCAAGCCGCCAGUAUUAUUAGCUGAAGAAUCUGCAAAGCCAAAGUGGAGGCACUGGCUUGACAAAAAAUUGCACAAUGGAAAGUCAGUUUUGUACGUGGCAUUUGGAACUCAGGCUGAAGUAUCCCAAGAGCAACUGCUUGAAAUUGCAAAUGGUCUAGAACAAUCUAAGGUGAAUUUCUUGUGGGUCAUAAAAUCAAAACGGCUGGAGAUCUUGCAAGGGUUUGAAGAAAGGGUGAAGGAUAGAGGGAUCAUAGUGAAAGAAUGGGUAGAUCAGAUGGAGACACUUAGGCACGAGAGUGUAAAAGGGUUCUUGAGCCAUUGUGGAUGGAACUCAGUUACUGAAAGCAUGUCAGCUGGCGUGCCCAUCUUGGCGAUGCCAUUCAUGGCUGAGCAACAUCUGAAUGCAAGACUUGUAUCGGAGGAGGUUGGUGUAGGCCUGAGAAUUAUGCCAUGCAAUGGAUCAGUGAGGGGCUUUGUCAAGUCAUCGGAAGUGGAGAAGAGAGUGAAAGAACUGAUGCAAGGAACAAAAGGGGAGGCCGCAAGGAAAAAGAUGGAAGAGGUUGGAGAAGCUGCUUGUGAUGCAAUGAGAGAAGGUGGUUCCUCAUGGGAAACUCUAGAUCAACUCAUCCAUGAUAUAAGUAACUACACAAGAUUAACUCCUCUUAAUCAUGGAUUGGUAAGUGAACUUGGGACAGUUUCAGUUAGUUAAUAAUUUGUUUAUGUGUGAUGAAUUGGUAUACGGUAUAGUUGUACGUACAGCAAUACCAUAUGGGGCUACUACAGUUUUAUGUAAAUCAACUUUCGUAACAGGACAACAACAUUAUGUUAGUGUAUACCAAAUCUCAUGAAAAAUACACAUCACCUAUAUGCAUCCACAGCAACCCCGAAGUCUUAACCGCAGUGUCCCUGGUUUGUAAUAAGUUGUCAAGCAACCGAAAUUGUUCUCCUAUCGUUUGGAAUCAACUUUGUUUUUCUUUUAUGUAUAUUGUAUUUAUUUGGGAUCCAAAGGUUAGACCUAGGUUGAUUUUAAAGUUGUGAAAUCUGAUUAAUAAUUUGGAAGGGCUAUGCAAUAGCGACCUCAGAACCUUGCAUCCAAAUCAACCUUGAGAUCCUUGGCUUGAUUAUUCGACUUGUACAGUAAAUAAAAUCAUCCAAAGUGUCAAGAAGCAAACUUUCAUAAAAAAGCCCGUGCAAAAUCCUAGAAGACAUAUCUAGUCUACAGAUGUCUGAAGCCAACAUAUGCGUGUCUUCUAGAGAGUUAUUUUACAAGCACAACAUCAAAGAAGAAAAUUUAUUAUGCUAAUGCUACAACUGAAGACAAAGGGUUUAAAAUACAUUCAUGCAAUAGGGUGUACAGAAAUUAUCUAAAGGUCUAUGCGUUCACUACUUCUAUUGAUCUUAUAAAACUACUUACCAAUCGUAUCCAUCUAGUGUUUGCCCGUGUACACUCAACUCGCAGGACAAACUAAGAGUCUACUGCUGUUCUUCUUGCAUAUUUGUCAACAUCCAAGAAGAGAUUUCCAACCAAAUAGGAGAGACAACAGAUACAAAGUCCAAAAGCCUUUUGUGUUUCGCUCAUACUUCAUAACGAGGCCUUUUCUUAAAGAUCUAAAGAAGCUCUAAACCUUCUUAUAAGGCUUAAAAGGAAAGGGAUCAAGGGAACGGGGAAAAGCUUAAGAGUAGAAUCAUGGAUAGACCACGACGUGAUCCUAAUCAUUUCAAACGCCCACCAGAAUGUGUUUGGAUUGCAAAUUUAUUUCAAAUAAUAUUUCGCUUGCAUCAUAAACACAUUUUUCAAUCCACCUUCUUAUAUUCCCCACUACUUUUUAUCUCUCAUACAUCAAAUCACAAAAAAUGCUACAGUAAUUAUUCCAAAUAAUAUUUCAAAUAAUACUCUAUCCAAACAUAUUUCAAGCAAUCUGAAAUACUUCAUUAUCGCAACGCGCAAAAUUUUAAUGUGGCGAAGGUUGGGUCUUUCAUACUUGAAAAUGCUACUGCUUUAGAAAUAGUUGUUUGAUUUUUUCUUUUUUUUGACAAAUUUGUCUCAUUAACCCCGCAACGGGACAAUUUUGAUAUGCUCCCUGAUAAGCUUGCACAUCACAAUGGAUGGCGUGUUAAAAAAGAUGAUCAGAUUCAUAAAGAUACAUCAAACGUUUGAAGGGAUUUAGAGUACUCUCUUGUCUUCUUCACUGCUAAGUCAUGCAAAUGAGAGCUGUUUGCAGUCAAACUAGCUCGAAUAGGGUCCAGAAAUGGAACUUAGGACUUCAUGCACUUCGUAGCCACAUGACAAUAUGUAUUCAAAUUCUGAAGUUGGUAACAAAAUUCAAUUAGCAGAACAUUUUUGUUUCAAAACAGAUAAGAAAACUGAAAGGCCAACAGUUGAUGGUUCACUCUGUCUAACUAAAACUAUUUUUGCAAACCUUCAAAACUUUGAAAGAUACAAAAUGGAAUAAAGUGACGAGACAAAUCAGUCUUUCAAUUUCCCUAGAACCAUAUAAGCAGGAGGAAACAUGACUUGACUUUGUUUCACUUUCAAAUAAGAUCCUUCGCAUCCAAACAAUAGCUAAAGAAAAUUGAAGAGCCACCUUAAAUGUCAUAUCUCAAAACGAAAGGGAGGAAAAAUAUUUUCAUCCUUCACAAAAUGACAUGCAUCCAUGAUGAGACCACACCUAGUUAAAACUAGUCUACAAAUAAUAUUUGAGAAAGUACAUCACAUGAUUCUCGAAUAAAUUCGUCUAGAGAUGGCUAAUCUAAGCAGUUUUACGUACAUACAUAUUUAUCAUAUAAAGGCUGCAUUAAAAUGCU
rnacentral:lncRNA from 1 species